AUUUCAUUUUCCUCCUCCCUCUAAAACAUCUUCCUGUCCCCGGCUUGCUGUUCCCUAGCGGAGGGCUUGGAUGUUGUCCAAACUAUGCUGUAUAAUUUGAAGGAAAUGCAUGAUGGGAAGUGGAAUCAAUCACAGGAUGUUGUUUUUCUGAUUGUGUGUACUGACUAGCCUGGUCUGACUGUGUGUACGGACUAGCCUGGUCUGACUGUGUGUACGGACUAGCCUGGUCUGACUGUGUGUACGGACUAGCCUGGUCUGACUGUGUGUACGGACUAGCCUGGUCUGACUGUGUGUACGGACUAGCCUGGUCUGACUGUGUGUACUGACUAGCCUGGUCUGACUGUGUGUACUGACUA
rnacentral:lncRNA from 1 species